UACGGGGGGGGGCAAGCGUUUGUCCGGAUUUACUGGGCGUAAAGCGCGCGUAGGCGGGAAGAGAAGUCCGGUGGGAAAGCCCCCGGCUCAACUGGGGAGGGUCACGCGAUACUGAUCGACUCGAAGGCAGGAGAGGGAAGUGGAAUUCCCGGUGUAGUGGUGAAAUGCGUAGAUAUCGGGAGGAACACCAGUGGCGAAGGCGGCUUCCUGG
rnacentral:rRNA from 1 species